UUCCCCGGUAGCUCAGUCGGUAGAGCGGGUGACUGUUAAUCACUAGGUCGGCAGUUCGAGCCUGUCCCGGGGAGCCAA
rnacentral:tRNA from 1 species